rnacentral:rRNA from 1 species
AUGGACAUGGAGAUCCCGGUGAUCGACCUCCAGGGGCUCAACGGCGACGCCUCCCAGCGGUGGCAAACCAUGGCGCGGCUCCACGAAGCCUGCAAGGACUGUGGCUUCUUCUGGGUGGACAGCCAUGGCGUCGACGCCGCACUCAUGGAGGAGGUGAAGCGCUUCGUGUACGCCCACUACGACGAGCAUCUCAAGGAUAGGUUCUACGCCACCGACCUCGCCAAGGACCUGCUGCUGGAAUUUUGUCUAUUUUGAGCCUAGCCCAAUAGCAGUUUCAGAAAUUCCUAAUAAAUCCUAGUAGACUGGGAGACCGCCUACUUCAUCCGGCACCAUCCUUCCAACAACGUCGCCGACUUCCCGGAGAUCCCGCCGGCCACACGGGAGAUGCUCGACGCGUACAUCGGCUAGAUGGUGUCGCUGGCGGAGCGGCUGGCCGAGUGCAUGAGCCUGAACCUGGGCCUGGACGGCGGCCUCGUCAGGGACACCUUCGCGCCGCCGUUCGUCGGGACCAAGGUCGCCAUGUACCCGGCCUGCCCGCGGCCGGACCUCGUGUGGGGCCUCCGCGCCCACACCGACGCCGGCGGCAUCAUCCUGCUCCUGCAGGACGGAGUUCUUCCGGGGCGACCGAGAGUGGGUUCCCGUCGGCCCCACCAAGGGCAGCAGGAUCUUCGUCAACCUCGGGGACCAGCUGGAGGUGAUGAGCGGCGGCGCCUACAGGAGCGUGCUGCACCGCGUGGCCGCCGUCGCCGAGGGACGGCGGCUGUCGGUGGCGACCUUCUACAACCCCGGGGCUGA